UGGAGUUCAGAUUAACAAACUAUUAGUUGUGAAAUAAAAUUUUGAGCGAAUUUUGCUCAGUCAUAUCACACAUUGUUGUACAUAUUAGUUAUAAUUGACGACGAUAUAUCAACUGGCAGGAAAAUGAAGAUGAAGUUCCUAAUACUUCUAUCAAUGUGCAAUCUAUAAAUGAAGAUACCAGCAGUGGUAAUAUGUGGACAGAAGUGGAAAGAGAACCUCCAGUUUUUGAAUUCGAGGGACGAUCAAAUCGUAAAGGUAAUCCGAAAGAAUUGGUCAAACAAAAUCUGAAGUAGGGCGAGUACAGUUGGAAGCGACCCGAAUCGGUCGUUGUUUGUAAGUGGAGAGAUAAAAGAGACGUAUUUACUAUAUGAAAUUUGCUCAAAGCUGAGAUGGUUGAAAUUGCUAACAGAAAUAGACAAGUCUCCAUCAAACCCAAUAUUGUAUUGUGGUAUAAAAAAUAGCUGUACACGUCAUGAAAAUGGCUGCGCAUAAUGCAUAUGUAUAUAUCUUAUAGUUAGCAACCGAACGCAGAAAAUGAAGAAAAAAAGAAGUUAUACAAUAUUGGCUAAAUGGAAGCCAAGAUGCAGUCAUUCAAUCUCAUCAAUCUACGUCAAUCAUACCAGAGGAACAAAUUUCUAUUCAUUAUCUUGAUUCUAUUCCUCCUACACCAAAACAGAAUAACCCAACUCGCAAAUGUAGAGUUUGUGCAACGAAAAAAAUUUAAAAGGAGACUCGAUAUUACUGUCGGAGCUGUCCUAAUAAAUCUCCAUUAUGUAUUGGACUAUGCUACAAAUCCUCUCAUGAAGAUAAUGUAUUAUAUUGUAUGUGAUUUUGUUGCUAAACAAUUUUGUUACAAAUACGCGAUCUAGUUGAUUUUUGCCUCAAAGAUCAUUCUCUCUAAGAAAUAAAGUAUUAUUUUUGUAAACAAUUUUA